rnacentral:lncRNA from 1 species
CAAGGGGCCAGCUUUCAGUUGCCUUGAAAAUAUCUUCAGCAAGUGGUCUCUUAAACAUUCUCACCUCUGGAUUUCUAGGGCACAUUCUCUCACCUGAUUGUCUAUCCAUUUUCUCCACACUCCUAGUCAGUCACCUUUGCUGUGCUCCUUCUGUUUCAUCUUCCCCUUAAAGCCUCCUUCAUGAUGACAGACCACAUGGAGAGAGAUGCCUGGUUGAUACCCAGCAAGACAUCAAGAAAGUGAAAGUGUGUCCGAAAUUGGUGGGUUCUUGGUCUCACUGACUUCAAGAAUGAACCUGUGGACCCUCACGGUUUCUACAGCAAUGUUAUCUUGAAUGGUUUGUCAACAUGUUUCACUGAGAAAACUUAAAGCAACUCUGGUAAUUACAAGUGGAACCUUGUUACAAGUGGAACCUUGACAACUUCAGAAGUGACCAUCACAACCAAACAUUCCCUGCUCUGAAUCACCUGACAUUCACUGUCUCAUUCACACCAGCUUCUUCAGGUGGCCCUUGAUGAUCUGCCUGCCUCCACAGAGGCUCAGAAAAUUAGCCUUUUCUUUUUUUCUAGAUUUCACUCUUCAUGAUGGAUGUGAAAGACAGUAAAGUAUGCUAGUUAAAACCCAGCCUCUGGAGACAGACUGAUGUGGGAUCCUAGAAAAGUCGUCUGCACAGAGCAGGGCAUGGCCUGCAUUCCAAAUUUUGUUAUUCUCAAAGGUCAGUUGUUCUCAGUGGCAGACAACAGAAGCCAAGACUUGCUAAGUAAAACAGAAGACAAAUUUGCUGGAAGGACAUGUGAAAAUGGGCACAAAUUAGGAAGCAAGGUCAUACUUGCAUCACUGCUGUUAGGCUGCUACCACUGACUCCUCUGCUCCUGCACUCCCAAAAGCACCAUCAAGAAAAACCCCACACACAGUUCCUUCAUCUUUGCCUUACUUGCUGAAGAUUAGAAGUCCCAGGGAAUCCAACCUUAUUUUAUCUUUGAAAAUAUCCUGAAGUGCCAAAUAAACCAACAGUCUGAAGCGGGGGAAGACUCUAGCCCCAGCAAUACCUGCGACUACUAAUGAAAAAGACUUGACGGACUGAAACUGCCCGAGAUUUCUCACAUAAUGUCAUCAUUACGUGGAUGUGCUUCAGUGCUCUGAAAUAAUGGCACUUUAAUCUCAAGUCCACCUGCCACCAUCUGAAAAGGGGGGAAAAAAGCCAAAGAUAUAAAAUACUGAAGAAAGGAUACUGGAUGGCAUGCAGAAUCUUUGGAAGAACAACCAGAUUGCCAGGCAACACAGCUAGAAAAGUGCCCCAAAUCUCACCACAGAACAGAUUUAAUGAAAAUCGCACUUCUGCACUGCUGGGCCAUUAUUACUAUGACCACCGAGAAUGCUGCCUCUAAAGAGUGGAUGGACCUGCUCUCACUGCCCUGCUGCUUCCUGUCCCUAGAAUAAACUCAGUGUGGUCUCUGCUU